UCUAUCAGACUCCCAAUACAAUUAGGGCAAGACGCCCACUUCCUCUCCUCUCUAUCACAGACUCUCACUCUCAAUACUCUUCAACAAUGGCUUUUCCUUCCUGCAAUUGUAAGGCCAAUGCUUGAUUAUUUUGAAUCAUCAAAGCAAGUCCCUCAACCUGCUCUUUGGUGUUGGUAGGUAUCAGCUACAGGCUAUGUUCUUUUGGAUAGUGUGCUAUUGAAUUUUCAGAUCUUGGUGUUGCUCCGUUUUGGAUCCACAAGGAAGGCUCAAUUUUGGUAACUUCUAUUAAACUGAGUCUGCAUUUUCUUUCUAGUAGCUGUUAACCAGUUUCACGGACUAAAUAAAUUAUGACAGUUCCCAUACAGAUAAAAUAAACAAAUGUCUACCUUUGUCUGAUAUCAGCACCUAGUAU